GACACGCACGACAGACACUUAGCAGUGAGAAAUGCCAGCAGCUGCCUCUCCUGCUGGGCUUGCACGAACACUCAUUUUUUCUACCAGGUUUGGACCAACUUUUCAGUGCAGCAGUGCUGAAGAGUUUACAGGAAUGUUCCUGCACUUCGGGAAAAGAAGAACUGCACCAACCUGUCCCACAAUACAGGGUGGAAAAGAGGGUGGAACAGUUUAGGAAUGGCAGGGAAAAUACCUUGGAUGAAAAAGUUACCUAGAUAAUGCUUUACGAAGUCCAGAUAUUAAAAUACAAGAAUUUUGUAUUAUUUUUAACAACUGAGUGAAAAUAUGUGAAAGGAAGUCUAGAAUAUGAACCAGAAUCUCUGAAUGUUCUUCUGUAAGAUUUUUUAGCUAGAAGCAGGUAAUAGAAGUGUCAAAUAAAUCAUGAUGAAGAACUCAGUAUGAAGUGCAUAUGUUUUUAAAUGGAGAUAUCUGACUUUGCAGAUACAAUUUAGCAGAUAGAGUAUUUGGAGGUUUAAUCUCACUUCUGAUGCAAACAGAGACAGAUGAGAGCAGCAGCAUGGUUCCAUGGCUUUUCUUCUGUCAGAGGAAAGCCAGGAGUAAAUCAGAGGGUGAAGAAAAUCCCAGCCUUGCACUGUGGGGUGAUUUAUGCACGUGCCAUUCUACCCUGGAGAUUAAAGAGGUGGUGCAGCAACACUAAGCCAUGCUAACUCUAAGAUUACAGUUUAAAGUAUUUUAUAAACAACUUAUCUGCUAGUGGGAGGCAGCAUCACCAGUCCUGCCCAGCCCAGAGAGGCUGAGCCUGUGAGCCCAGCAGGGUCCUGGGGCAGGAGGUGCCCAUGCCAGCAGCCAGGGCUGUGCUGGUCUGGCAGCCCAAGCUCUCCAGGCUCCAGAGCACCUGCCAAGGGGGUCCAUCCACACACAUCCACCCCACCACACCCAGAGGGCUGUGCCCAGCUCAGCUUUGUAAGAGGAAAUGAAUGGCAAAGGGAAUUACAAGUGCAGCUCAGGACUGACAGGAAUCACAGGAGAAAGGUGUGGAGGGCCAAAGCAGAGCAGCACCUGCAGCAGCACAGCCCUUGUGUCCUUUGCACCUUCUGUGUCUCUGGGCUAAAGGAUCCAACUUCACACAGCUCCUUGCUGCAGCAGAAAACAGCUUAACUGGUUUACUGGCUUUUGGAAGUCUUUUAUUUAGUGGGCUGGAAGGUGUUACAGUCAUUUAUCACUCAUACCCACAGACCUGGGACUGGAACUGUUUGGGAUCAGGCUCCCAAUGGCUCUGCUGCUCAACAGCCCCACUGCCCAACCUCAGCUAACUAACUCCAGGGACUGCAGCCAGAUCCUCAGGGCAGUGAAGAAUCACUUGUCUUGAACCAUCCAGAAAAGGAAUUUCUCUGAUUAGCAAAGAGGAGCUGAAGAAUUUCAAGUAUAGCUUAUAAAUGCCUUAGGACUAAAUUCUGACCAAAGCAUGUCUUAAACAUUGAUCUGUUCUGAACAAGCUCCUGCUAAGCAUGCAAAAUCCUGUUCCUGUUCUCUGCACUAUUUAGUGUUUGCCACUGCCCUGUCCAGAGAGUUCAGUGCUGCCAAAAGCUCUCAUGGGAAUUUGCUUCAUGCAUGGGCAGCUGAACUAAAACUUCUUCCAGAAGCAGGUGAAAAAAGGUGAGGAGAUCAAGAGGAUGAUAAGGCAGGAAGCAACCACACCACAGCCCUGGGAUGGAGCACUGCAGCUGUGUCUGCUCUGAGCCAUCUCCUGCAUGGUCAUAGUGGCUCUGGCAAAAGUAAAAAAAGUAACAUAAAAAAAAAGAAGAAAAAAAAAGGCUCUGGACUCAGAUAGUUUGUGGAAAUAGUCAAGGCCCGGAAGCCGUUUAUUUCAGAACUUGAUACUGUGAACAUCAAAAAUUGGGAAUCUUGAUUAGUGUUUACAAUGAUCACAAUGUUACUAGACAGCUGGGCACAACUCUGCUACACAGAUACUUUAAAAAUAAAUAAAUAGAAGGUUAAAGGAGGGUAUUACAUGGUAGGGGACUGUACACGGUCCUGAAGGAACUCCUCCUGCCAGGAGAGCCUCCCCUCCUCUGUCCAACAGCUCCCAAGGCACCACCACACGUGUGUGCCUUCGAAAUUCAUGUUUUAGAGUGCUGCAGCAGCCCUGGGGCAGACAGAGACAUGCAGGGCCCAGGGCAGGCUGCAGACAGAGCCCCUGCUCUCUCAGACCACUCAGCCCAGGGAGGAGCAGGGUGAGAGGGCAGGCAGCUGGGGAUGUGCCCUGGCAGCUGUGACAGUGCCACUGUCCCUGGGACACAGGUGCCACUGUCCCUGGGACACAGGGGCAGAACCUGGCACCCACAACAGGUUACCUGUGUGCCCUGGCCACAGCCUGAGCCUCCUGCCAAACUCAGCACCAGGAGCAAGGAGUAGCUCAGGAACAAAGCCAGGCACAAGGACAAGGGAGAGCAAGGCUAAAACGGGCACAGCUCUCAGACACAUCUGUAUUUUGAUAUUUACAGAGCUAGAAACUUAGCUGCCAAGAGUAAGAAUUCUUGUCUCUUGCCUGCUGUCCGUUUUGGAUACAGGAGGAGGGCUGAAUUAGAGCUGCCAUGUCCUGCACUAAGACCUUGCAGAGUACAAAUGUUUGGCAUCAGCUGUGCCUCUCCCCCUGGCUGGUGGCACACAGUGGGGAGGUGUGUGUGAGCACACCCAACAAACACAGACACAAAUAUACACUUGCUGGCAUGCCAAAAAUGUUCAGGGAACCUCUUCCUGCCUGGACACCCAAGAGCUUUGGUCCCAAACGAGGCUUUACAGGGGAUGACUUCAGGACUGAGCACUGUCCCCUCCCUGGAGAGCACUGCCAUGGCUCCAGAGCCAAGUGCACCUGCAGUGACAGCAACCUGCAAGGACCUGGCAGGCUCUAUGUGACAGCACACAAUUUCAACAGCAUCUCUGAAAACCAAAGCAAAGCCAUAUACCACAGCUCCCUUCAACUUCCACGAGUGCAGUCAGUCUGCAGCAAUUAUCUGCUAUUAAUUAUAUUAAUUUUUAUAAGAGCAUAAAUACUUUGUCCACAUGACAUCAAUACAUACUUCCUAUAGUAUCUAAGCAUGAUUAUUAGCUUCACAUAAUUUCAGCACACUUGAUAAAUAUCCAUAAAGCCAAAAUAACAAGUUUAUAUUCCCACAUGCUCUCACCCUUUGACACACCGAAGCUCACUAGGGCAUGCAAAGCAUGGAUGUGGAGAGGAGAGUUCAGAGGAAGGAAAGAGCUGGAUGUAAAUACAGAGUGUUUAGAAUUGUUUAGAAUGGUAAAGGGCCACAGAGGUCAGCCUGCAUGCACUGAUGGCACUGAGGGCCUCAGGGAGAACAGAAGCAGCAGCAGCAGAGAUGCUGACUGAGUUCUGCCUCUGGGCUCUCCCUCAGCUCAGAAAUGCUAGCCCAGGUGUCCCCCUGUGCCCUGCCACACCCAGAGGUGGCACAGGAAGGACAGAAGUGCUGGCCUGGCAGAGCCAUGGGCACUGCUGCAGCCACGGCUCCACCAAGCAAAGCAACACAGUGCAGUCCCAAACCUUGUCCAGGGAAAGGCACUUCAGGAACCCACGCUGGGCCCUUUGUAAAUCUGGCUCUGCUGGGCAGGGCACGAGAUUCUGAGCUGGCAGAUCAGCCAUGGCCAGAGCCAGGCACUUGGGGAAGGAGCAGAUUUGAUUUCAAGUGACACAAAAAGCCACUAACACUCCCAAGUUACAUCCUCUGCUCCAGACACGUGGUUGGUAUAAAAAAGCAGCACCUCGAAUUAGGGGCUUUUGGGCUAAAACCCUCUAAUAUUGUUAGGAUGUUUGCAUGCUCUGGCCUGCAUGGCUGAGAGAAUCCUCAGGCAACAGAACUGCACCUGGAGACCACAGGUGCUCCUGAGUUAAGGGCCCAGCUAAGGGAAAACAAGAAGCUCAAAGCACUGCCCAAGUGGCUCUGGAUGAUUUUGUCAGCUGUGGCUGUUAGUUACCAAGCCUUUGUUAGCUCUUAUCCCAGCCAGCAGAAGGAAAUGUCACAAAAUAGCACCUCAGCUGCACAGGACAGGACACUGUGCACCAGAACAAACACAUUUCCUCCUGCUGGGCUCACUGUGGGGCAGGCAGUGAUGCAGUUUGGUGAGUACCCCACAUACCUACACUAGAUGAGAGAUGGUAGAUCUGGGUGAAAAAUGCAAAGCACCUUCCAUACAGAACCUGUGGCAGGGCAGUGUCCAGAACCUGCCUCUGAAAUCAGGUGUGGAAGAACAGUCUCAGCAAAGGCAGUAGUGUUUGACUAUUUUUUUUUUUCACAGUCACCAGUAGAACACUGCUAACUUACAACUUGUCUGCAGGGCUCCUUGUGUGAGACACAGCUGUACAGACUGAAUGCUGCAGUUUAUAAAUCAGGACAAACCCACCCCUCUCCUUUCUUCCCUUACCCCAAGAGAUCCAUCAGUGAGACAAGGAGAAAGAAAGGAGGCUGUCAGCAUCAGAGUCUCUCACAGCAAAAAUUCAAUUGCUGCAGGUUUGCUUUUGAAGCUCUGAGAUUUUUGUUCUUAGAA